UGGGGAAUAUUGCACAAUGGGCGCAAGCCUGAUGCAGCCAUGCCGCGUGUGUGAAGAAGGCCUUCGGGUUGUAAAGCACUUUCAGCGGGGAGGAAGGCGUUAAGGUUAAUAACCUUGGCGAUUGACGUUACCCGCAGAAGAAGCACCGGCUAACUCCGUGCCAGCAGCCGCGGUAAUACGGAGGGUGCAAGCGUUAAUCGGAAUUACUGGGCGUAAAGCGCACGCAGGCGGUCUGUCAAGUCGGAGGUGAAAUCCCCGGGCUCAACCUGGGAGCUGCAUUCGAAACUGGCAGGCUAGAGUCUUGUAGAGGGGGGUAGGAUUCCAGGUGUAGCGGUGAAAUGCGUAGAGAUCUGGAGGAAUACCGGUGGCGAAGGCGGCCCCCUGGACAAAGACUGACGCUCAGGUGGGAAAGCGUGGGGAGCAAACAGG
rnacentral:rRNA from 1 species